CUAGAUCCUGAAGAUAGAGAAACUUUUCUUUGUCUUAGACCUAACUGAGGAAUAAAAAGUCCUCCUAGCAGCCUUUAUGUUGACUGGUGAAGCAGAACACUGGUGGACACUUACAAAGGAAGUCCUACCUACCCCUACCACUUGGGAAGUUUUCAUGAAUGCGUUCUUUGAUAAAUAUUUCCCAACCUAUGUCCAAGAGAAAAAUGAGGAAGAA
rnacentral:lncRNA from 1 species